GGUAAGGCCCUUCGGGGUACACGAGCGGCGAACGGGUGAGUAACACGUGAGCAACCUGCCCCUGACUCCGGGAUAAGCCGGGGAAACCCGGUCUAAUACCGGAUAGGACGUCUCGUCGCAUGGCGGGGCGUGGAAAGGUGUCUUUCCGGUCAGGGAGGGGCUCGCGGCCUAUCAGCUUGUUGGUGGGGUGAAGGCCUACCAAGGCGAUUACGGGUAGCCGGCCUGAGAGGGCGACCGGCCACACUGGGACUGAGACACGGCCCAGACUCCUACGGGAGGCAGCAGUGGGGAAUAUUGCGCAAUGGGCGGAAGCCUGACGCAGCGACGCCGCGUGGGGGAUGACGGCCUUCGGGUUGUAAACCUCUUUUACCACCGACGCAGGCCCGUGCUUCUGUGCGGGUUGACGGUAGGUGGGGAAUAAGGACCGGCCAACUACGUGCCAGCAGCCGCGGUAAUACGUAGGGUCCGAGCGUUGUCCGGAAUUAUUGGGCGUAAAGAGCUCGUAGGUGGCGUGUCGCGUCUGCUGUGUAAGUCCGGGGCUUAACUCCGGUUUGGCAGUGGAUACGGGCAUGCUAGAGGUAGGCAGGGGAGACUGGAAUUCCUGGUGUAGCGGUGAAAUGCGCAGAUAUCAGGAGGAACACCGGUGGCGAAGGCGGGUCUCUGGGCCUUACCUGACGCUGAGGAGCGAAAGCGUGGGGAGCGAACAGGAUUAGAUACCCUGGUAGUCCACGCUGUAAACGUUGGGCGCUAGGUGUGGGGACUUUCCACGGUUUCCGUGCCGUAGCUAACGCAUUAAGCGCCCCGCCUGGG
rnacentral:rRNA from 1 species